rnacentral:misc_RNA from 1 species
AAGUCGUAACAAGGUUUCCGUAGGUGAACCUGCGGAAGGAUCAUUAACAAAUCUCUACACACGAUCCCGGGCGCAAGCCUGGGCAUCUACACACGAUAACGUUGACGAAGCUCUAGACGACUAAAGCAAACAACUUUUAACAAUGGAUCUCUUGGCUCUU